AUCUGGCUUCGGCCCGAGUUGUAAUUUGUAGAGGAUGCUUUUGGCGCGGCACCUUCUCAGUCCCCUGGAACGGGGCGCCAUAGAGGGUGAGAGCCCCGUAUAGUUGGAUGCCUAGCCUGUGUAAAGCUCCUUCGACGAGUCGAGUAGUUUGGGAAUGCUGCUCAAAAUGGGAGGUAAAUUUCUUCUAAAGCUAAAUACCGGCCAGAGACCGAUAGCGCACAAGUAGAGUGAUCGAAAGAUGAAAAGCACUUUGAAAAGAGGGUUAAAUAGCACGUGAAAUUGUUGAAAGGGAAGCGCUUGUGACCAGACUUGCGCCGGGCUGAUCAUCCGGUGUUCUCACCGGUGCACUCUGCCCGGCUCAGGCCAGCAUCGGUUCUCGCGGGGGGAUAAAGGCCACGGGAACGUAGCUCCUCCGGGAGUGUUAUAGCCCGGGGCGUAAUACCCUCGCGGGGACCGAGGACCGCGCUCUGCAAGGAUGCUGGCGUAAUGGUCACCAGCGACCCGUCUUGAAACACGGACCAAGGAGUCAAGGUUUUGCGCGAGUGUUUGGGUGUAAAACCCGCACGCGUAAUGAAAGUGAACGUAGGUGAGAGCUUCGGCGCAUCAUCGACCGAUCCUGAUGUAUUCGGAUGGAUUUGAGUAAGAGCGUUAAGCCUUGGACCCGAAAGAUGGUGAACUAUGCUUGGAUAGGGUGAAGCCAGAGGAAACUCUGGUGGAGGCUCGCAGCGGUUCUGACGUGCAAAUCGAUCGUCAAAUCUGAGCAUGGGGGCGAAAGACUAAUCGAACCAUCUAGUAGCUGGUUACCGCCGAAGUUU
rnacentral:rRNA from 1 species